GAGCCCAAACCCGCCCAGUCUGACCCAGUGCAGACAACCGGCCUCCAGCUGGGGCUGGGGCGAGGGAAGUGGAGAGGUGCGGCCCCCCCACGCCCCUUCGGGGUGGGGGGCGCGGGCUCAGCGUUCCAGGGACCACGGGAAUUCUCUCCCUCUCGCCCUCCCGGCAGGCGGGGGAAGGGCUCAGCCGGGAGUUUGGCAAACUCCUCCCCGCGUUGAGUCAUUCGCCUCUGGGAGGUUUAGGAAGCGGCUCCGGGUCGGUGGCCCCAGGACAGGGAAGAGCGGGCGCUAUGGGGAGCCGGACGCCAGGGUCCCCUCUCCAGGCUGUGCAGCUGCGCUGGGGCCCCCGGCGCCGAUCGCGUCUGCUGCCGCUGCUGCCGCCGCCUCUGCUGCUGCUGCUGCUGCUGCCGCCGCCACUCAGGGUCGGGGGCUUCAACUUAGACGCGGAGGCCCCAGCAGUGCUCUCUGGGCCCCCGGGCUCCUUCUUCGGCUUCUCGGUGGAGUUUUACCGGCCGGGGACAGACGGGGUCAGCGUGCUGGUGGGAGCACCCAAGGCUAACACUAGCCAGCCGGGAGUGCUGCAGGGCGGUGCGGUCUACCUCUGUCCCUGGGCCACCAGCCCAGCACCAUGCACCCCCAUUGAGUUCGACAGCAAAGGCUCUCGGAUCCUGGAGUCCUCGCCAUCCAGCCUAGAGGGAGAUGAGCCCGUGGAAUACAAGUCCUUGCAGUGGUUUGGAGCGACGGUUAGAGCCCAUGGCUCCUCCAUCUUGGCCUGUGCUCCCCUCUACAGUUGGCGCACCGAGAAGGAGCCGCUGAAUGAUCCCGUGGGCACCUGCUACCUCUCCACAGACAACUUCACCCGGAUUCUGGAAUAUGCACCCUGCCGCUCAGAUUUCAGCUCGGCGGCAGGACAGGGCUACUGCCAAGGGGGCUUCAGUGCCGAGUUCACCAAGACCGGGCGUGUGGUCCUGGGUGGACCGGGAAGCUAUUUCUGGCAAGGCCAGAUCCUGUCGGCCACCCAGGAGCAGAUUUCAGAAUCCUAUUAUCCCGAGUACCUGAUCAACCCGGUUCAGGGGCAGCUGCAGACUCGCCAGGCUAGUUCCAUUUACGAUGACAGCUACCUGGGAUACUCUGUGGCUGUGGGUGAAUUCAGUGGCGAUGACACAGAAGACUUCGUUGCUGGCGUGCCCAAAGGGAACCUCACCUACGGUUAUGUCACCAUCCUUAAUGGCUCAGACAUCCGGUCCCUCUACAACUUCUCAGGGGAACAGAUGGCCUCCUAUUUUGGCUAUGCAGUGGCUGCCACAGACAUCAAUGGGGACGGGCUGGAUGACUUGCUGGUGGGGGCGCCCCUGCUCAUGGAGCGGACAGCCGAUGGGCGGCCGCAGGAGGUGGGCAGGGUCUACAUCUACCUGCAGAGCCCGGCGGGCAUGGAGCCUGCACCUGCCCGGACCCUCACUGGCCACGAUGAGUUUGGCCGAUUCGGCAGCUCCCUGACCCCCCUGGGGGACCUGGACCAGGAUGGCUACAAUGAUGUAGCCAUCGGGGCUACCUUUGGUGGGGAGAACCGGCAGGGAGCAGUGUUUAUAUUUCCUGGGGGCCCAGAGGGCUUGGCCUCUAAGCCUUCCCAGGUUCUGCAGCCCUUGUGGGCAGCUGGCCACACGCCAGACUUCUUUGGCUCGGCCCUUCGAGGAGGCCGAGACCUGGAUGGCAACGGAUACCCUGAUCUGAUUGUGGGGUCCUUUGGUGUGGACAAGGCUGUGGUGUACAGAGGUCGCCCCAUCGUGUCUGCCAGUGCCUCCCUCAGCAUUUUUCCCGCCAUGUUCAACCCAGAGGAGCGCAGCUGCAACCUGGAGGGGAACCCUGUGGCUUGCAUCAACCUCAGCUUCUGCCUCAACGCUUCUGGAAAACACGUUCCUGACUCCAUCGGCUUCACGGUGGAGCUCCAGCUGGACUGGCAGAAGCAGAAGGGAGGAGUGCGGCGGGUGCUGUUCCUGGCCUCCCGACAGGCCACCCUGACCCAGACCCUGCUCAUCCAGAACGGGGCUCGGGAGGACUGCAGAGAGAUGAAGAUCUACCUCAGGAACGAGUCAGAGUUCCGAGACAAACUGUCUCCAAUUCACAUCGCUCUCAACUUCUCCCUGGACCCCCAAGCCCCUGUGGACAGCCACGGCCUCCGGCCUGUCCUACAUUACCAGAGCAAGAGCCGCAUAGAGGACAAGGCUCAGAUCCUGCUGGACUGCGGAGAAGACAAUAUCUGUGUGCCAGACCUGCAGCUGGAAGUGUUUGGGGAUCAGAACCACGUGUACCUGGGCGACAAGAACUCCCUGAACCUCACUUUCCAUGCCCAGAAUGUGGGUGAGGGUGGCGCCUACGAGGCAGAGCUUCGGGUCACGGCCCCUCCAGAGGCUGAGUACUCCGGACUCGUCAGACACCCAGGGAAUUUCUCCAGCCUGAGCUGUGACUACUUUGCUGUGAACCAGAGCCGCCUGCUGGUGUGUGACCUGGGCAACCCCAUGAAGGCGGGGGCCAGUCUCUGGAGUGGCCUUCGGUUCACAGUCCCUCACCUUAGGGACACGAAGAAAACCAUCCAGUUUGACUUCCAAAUCCUCAGCAAGAAUCUCAACAACUCGCAGAGCGAAGUGGUUUCCUUCCGGCUCUCGGUGGAGGCUCAGGCCCAGGUGUCCCUAAACGGGGUCUCCAAGCCCGAAGCAGUGAUAUUCCCCGUGAGCGACUGGCAUCCCCGAGACCCGCCUCAGGAGGAGGAGGAUGUGGGUCCUGCCGUCCACCACGUCUACGAGCUCAUCAACCUGGGCCCCAGCUCCAUUAGCCGGGGCGUGCUGGAGCUCAGCUGUCCCCAGGCUCUGGAAGGUCGACAGCUCCUCUAUGUGACCAGGGUCACAGGACUCAGCAACUGCACCACGAGUCACCCCCUCAACCCACAGGGCCUGGAGCUGGAUCCCGAGAGUCCCCAGCACCACCGGCUGCAGAGACGGGAUGCUGCUAGCAGGAGCCCUGCCUCCUCGGGCCCUCAGAUCCUGAAAUGCCCGGAGGCAGAAUGUUUCAGGCUGCGCUGUGAGCUGGGGCCACUCCAUCGGCAAGAGAGCCGAAGCCUGCAACUGCAUUUCCGCGUCUGGGCCAAGACCUUCCUGCAGGUGAGGGAGCCUCACCUCAGUCCUGACCCCCGACCUUCGGGCUUGUCUGGAAUGACCUUCCCUUUCCCCACGGCCCUGGACACUCCCUUUAUUGACCCGGGACCCAGGCGGUCCCGUUCCCCUCCCUCACCCUUGUUUGGACCGGGCUGUGUGUUCUCGGCGCCACCUAGUGGCCAUACUGGUGACCGACAGCUUCCUUUUCCUGGCCCAUUCAGAGUAGGGAGGGUUGAAAACCAACACCAGGGGGCAGAGAAUGAUAGAAAAACCGAGGGGGAAUAUGAAUCCGUCGUGGAGAGGCAAGCAGAUGUAGGAACAGUAAAGAGCAGUCAUUUAUUAAGGGCACCCUUUGGGCCAGGCAUUGUCCUGGGUGCUUAACCCACAUGAAUGAUUCAAAAAAAAAAUUUUUUUUUUUAUUGAGCAUACUGUUAUUAUAAAUUAUUCAGUUAUAACUAUUCGGUCACACAUUUAUCAUCUCAUAUAAGAAGCAUAGAGAGAGAUUCAGGAGCGAAUGAGUCCAGAAUAGGGAAAAAUCAUAACCUGGGCCAGACCAUGGGGAGCCCUAUAUCCUCUGGAUGGCAAGAGGGGCUGCCCAUAACACUUUCUCCCACCCACAGCGGGAGCACCAGCCAUUUAGCCUGCAGUGUGAAGCUGUGUACCAAGCCCUGAAGAUGCCCUACAGAAUCCUGCCUCGGCAGCUUCCCCAAAAGGAACUUCAGGUGGCCACAGCCGUGCAGUGGAUCAAGGCAGAAGGCAGCCACGGCGUCCCGCUGUGGAUCAUUAUCCUAGCCAUCCUCGUGGGCCUCCUGCUCCUGGGUCUGCUCAUCUAUAUCCUCUACAAGCUCGGAUUCUUCAAACGCUCCCUCCCAUACGGCACCGCCAUGGAAAAAGCUCAGCUCAAGCCUCCAGCCACCUCUGAUGCCUGAGUCCUCCCGAUCCCAGACUCCCGAUCCUGAAGGCCCAGUCCCCCCACCCUCAGUCUACUGACAGGGAGGAGGCUGGGCGCUUCCUGAAGGUGCUGAGGGCCAGGGAGAAGCUCCUCUCCCCAGCCCGGAGACAUACUUGAAGGGCCAGAGCCGGGAGGUGAGGAGCUGGGGAUCCCCUCCCCCCAUGCACUGUGAAGGACCCUCGUUUACACACGCCCUCCUCAUGGAUGGGGGACUCAGAUCCAGGGACAGAGGCCCCAGCCUCCCUGCAGCCUUUGCAUUUUGGAGAGUUUCCAGAAAACAACUUGGAACCAGAACUGGGAGAUCCAAUCCCAGUUCUCUGGCCCACAUGUGCCACCAGGACUUCCCGUCCAGCUCCAGCCUGCAAAGAUCUGUCCUCAGUCUUGCCAGAGAUCCGCAGGAUGCCCCCAGCUAAGAACCUGGGACCUGGGGAGCGAGACAUGGCAGCUCUGGACAGCCCCCACCCUGGUGGGCCAACAAGGAACACUAACCGUGGAUGGUGCCCCAGGCCCAGCUCAGGACAGAUCCCACAGCAGAUUCGACGCUGGCCCAGAACCACUCCAAGGGGAACUCUAAAAGGGCCAGAUCGAACCUGGGGUUGAUCUGGGCCCCAGACUCAGACAUUGGUAACCUAAGUAGGCAGAACCAGGACUACAUCUGAGCCUGCUCCACACCUGGGCCUGGAGGCCCAAUCCACUUCUGACUCAGGAGAAGUCAGCAAUUGCCCAGGACCCUGAAGGGGCUGUGAUGGCAACAGAUCUGGAACCUUAACCCUGGCCAGAGGCAGGCCCUCCCAGUCUCCCGGAGAAAGGGGGAGCCCGCCGUCCCGGGCCUGUAGGAUUUGGGUUCUGCCCGCCAGCUGCACUGACGCUGCCCCUCCUCUCCCUGCCCAACCCUCCCCUCACCUCGGCUCCGGACACCGGGGACUUAUUUAAACUCUGUUGCAAGUGCAAUAAACCCGGCCCGGUGCCCCCACUGACCACGGCUGGAAUU